UUGGAGGGCAGUCUGGUGCCAGCAGCCGCGGUAAUUCCAGCUCCAAUAGCGUAUAUUAAAGUUGUUGCAGUUAAAAAGCUCGUAGUUGAAUUUCGAGAUCAAUUUGUCGGUCGUGCCUCGGUACGCACUGGUAUUAUUGGUUCCUACCUCCUGAAGAACCGCGAUGUCAUUAAUUUGGUGUCGUGGGGAAUCAGGACUGUUACUUUGAAAAAAUUAGAGUGUUUAAAGCAGGCUUACGCUUGAAUACAUUAGCAUGGAAUAAUGAAAUAGGACGUUUGAUUCUAUUUUGUUGGUUUCUAGGAUUGACGUAAUGAUUAAUAGGGAUAGUUGGGGGCAUUAGUAUUCAAUUGUCAGAGGUGAAAUUCUUGGAUUUAUUGAAGACUAACUACUGCGAAAGCAUUUGCCAAGGAUGUUUUCAUUAAUCAAGAACGAAAGUUAGGGGAUCGAAGACGAUCAGAUACCGUCGUAGUCUUAACCAUAAACUAUGCCGACUAGGGAUCGGAUGAUGUUAAUUUUUUAAUGACUCAUUCGGCGCCUUACGGGAAAC
rnacentral:rRNA from 1 species